GACAAACGCUGGCGGCGUGCCUAAUACAUGCAAGUCGAACGACGAAAGCCUUCGGGCAAGUAAGAGUGGCGCACGGGCGAGGAACACGUAGAUAAUCUGCCCUUCAGUGGGGAAUAACUCUCCGAAAGGAGUGCUAAUACCGCAUAAGACCACAAGCUCUGCGGAGCAAGGGGUUAAAGGAUUUAUUCGCUGAAGGAUGAGUCUGCGUCCGAUUAGCUAGUUGGUGAGGUAAUGGCUUACCAAGGCAAUGAUCGGUAGAAGGUCUGAGAGGAUGAUCAUCCGCACUGGAACUGAGACACGGUCCAGACUCCUAAGGGAGGCAGCAGUAGGGAAUAUUGCACAAUGGGGGAAACCCUGAUGCAGCAACGCCGCGUGAGUGAUGAAGGCUCUAGGGUCGUAAAGCUCUGUCGUAUGGGAAGAAAAAAAUGACGGUACCAUACAAGAAAGGACCGGCCAACUUCGUGCCAGCCGCCGCUGUAA
rnacentral:rRNA from 1 species